CCUAAUAAAAGAGGAGAGUGGAACAAAUUUGCAGAGCGUGCGACUAUUGUAAAUGCCUUUUAUAUGAAGACAGAAAACAGCAUAUCAUUCCCUGCAGGAGCUAUACAGCUUCCCAAUUUCAGCAAGGAUCGACCAUACUAUCUUAAUUUUGGAGGCAUUGGAUAUUUCAUUGGCCAUGAAAUUACUCAUGGAUUCGAUAGUAAUGGUCGACAUUUUGAUAAAAAUGGUAAUAGGAACAACUGGUGGAGCACAGACGCAGACAAAUUUUCAGAAAGAAAGCCGAAUGUAUCAUAAACCAAUAUAGUAAUUACACAACAGAUUAUGGAAUUGGAAUGCAGCUAAACGGCGUUUAGACGCAAGCAGAAAAUAUAGCGGACACAGCAGGACUGAAAACAGCUUAUUUGGCCUACCAGUCGUGGGUGAGAGAUAAAGGAAUAGAGCCAAAGUUGCCUGGAUUAAAGUAUACACCGAAUCAGUUAUUUUGGAUAGGUUUAGCAAAU